rnacentral:rRNA from 1 species
AUUGAACGCUGGCGGCAUGCUUUACACAUGCAAGUCGAACGGUAACAGGCCUUCGGGCGCUGACGAGUGGCGAACGGGUGAGUAAUGCAUCGGAACGUGCCCAGUCGUGGGGGAUAACUAUCCGAAAGGAUAGCUAAUACCGCAUACGAUCUGCGGAUGAAAGCGGGGGACCUUCGGGCCUCGCGCGAUUGGAGCGGCCGAUGUCAGAUUAGGUAGUUGGUGGGGUAAAGGCUCACCAAGCCAACGAUCUGUAGCUGGUCUGAGAGGACGACCAGCCACACUGGGACUGAGACACGGCCCAGACUCCUACGGGAGGCAGCAGUGGGGAAUUUUGGACAAUGGGCGCAAGCCUGAUCCAGCAAUGCCGCGUGCAGGAAGAAGGCCUUCGGGUUGUAAACUGCUUUUGUACGGAACGAAACGGCUCUGGUUAAUACCCGGGGCUAAUGACGGUACCGUAAGAAUAAGCACCGGCUAACUUCGUGCCAGCCGCCGCCGUAACAC